rnacentral:sRNA from 1 species
GGGUGUCUGCUUCCUCUCCCUCACUGCUCCAUGUGCAUCCCUCCCUAAGCUGCACACUUGAUCAAAGAGGAUGCUUUCCACCCCCAUAGCGAAGGGCCAUUUCCUAGGUCAAGGGAAGUAGCUGUGCUCCCUUGCUAGGACCUCCAAACAAGCUCUCAAGUUAUACUAUAGUGAUAAAAACAGCAUGGCAUUUGCACAAAAGCAGAAAAAUCAAUAGCAUUCAUGCAGAUU